GAACAUUGAGCUUGCUUAAUGUUCUUAGUGGCGGACGGGUGAGUAACACGUGAGUAACCUGCCUCUGAGAGUGGGAUAGCUUCUGGAAACGGAUGGUAAUACCGCAUAACAUCAUGGAUUCGCAUGUUUCUAUGAUCAAAGAUUUAUCGCUUAGAGAUGGACUCGCGUCUGAUUAGCUAGUUGGUAAGGUAACGGCUUACCAAGGCGACGAUCAGUAGCCGGACUGAGAGGUUGAUCGGCCACAUUGGGACUGAGACACGGCCCAGACUCCUACGGGAGGCAGCAGUGGGGAAUAUUGCACAAUGGGGGAAACCCUGAUGCAGCGAUGCCGCGUGGAGGAAGAAGGUUUUCGGAUUGUAAACUCCUGUUGAAGAGGACGAUAAUGACGGUACUCUUUUAGAAAGCUCCGGCUAACUACGUGCCAGCAGCCGCGGUAAUACGUAGGGAGCGAGCGUUGUCCGGAAUUACUGGGUGUAAAGGGAGCGUAGGCGGGAUGGCAAGUCAGAUGUGAAAACUAUGGGCUCAACCCAUAGACUGCAUUUGAAACUGUUGUUCUUGAGUGAGGUAGAGGUAAGCGGAAUUCCUGGUGUAGCGGUGAGAUGCGUAGAGAUCAGGAGGAACAUCGGUGGCGAAGGCGGCUUACUGGGCCUUUACUGACGCUGAGGCUCGAAAGCGUGGGGAGCAAACAGGAUUAGAUACCCUGGUAGUCCACGCCGUAAACGAUGAUUACUA
rnacentral:rRNA from 1 species